UACGGGGGGGGCAAGCGUUGUUCGGAAUUACUGGGCGUUAAAGGCUCGUAGGCGGCCAACUAAGUCAGACGUGAAAUCCCCAGGCUCAACCUGGGAACUGCGUCUGAUACUGGAUGGCUUGAAUCCGGGAGAGGGAUGCAGAAUUCCAGGUGUAGCGGUGAAAUGCGUAGAUAUCUGGAGGAAUACCGGUGGCGAAGGCGGCAUCCUGGACCGGCAUUGACGCUGAGGAGCGAAAGCCAGGGGAGCAAAGCGGGG
rnacentral:rRNA from 1 species